UUGCACUCCAGCACGCGCGCUCGGUAAAUAAAUAAGUUUAUCAUCACCAGUGCGUUCCACGCUACUAACUAACCCAUAAUUUCAUCCCGUGAUGACAGCGACGAGUCGCCGUCGCGCGCCAGUAAUGGCACUGUUGAAAACCAUUCCCGGCGAGGUGGUGCUGAUCGGCGAUAUGAUCGACACCUGGGCCUUAUCCGCCGGAGGCAGGCAGAAACGCGGCGGGGCCCGAAGGACGGACCCACCCCUACGGGCAAUUAUAUAUACGAACCUGCAUAUCCCGUUGCGGUAUGUGCGUAGGCGGCAGAGAUUGCUAGCCCACAAGUUUCUCUUCCCCGAUUGGGCGGUGCCGACGGCGACACGGCACGACGGAAUCGAAAAGUCACAGCCUGAAAGCUGCCUCUCGGGACAAGGAUGCCUGCUCCUUCGGGCUCUCGUUUUUAGUCUUGUUUUUUUCCCGAUCGCUCCGUGCCGUCCAACCAGAUAUGGAUGCCAGAUCAGCUGGCUGAGCUGGGGAGCUGGACGAGACGGCUGACAGACCAAGACUCAGAUGCCUUUUUUGUUUCUAAAAAAUCAAGAUUUGUAUAUUUCCUCUUGCCGUGGAAAGGCGAACGGGAGGAGGGAUUUCUUUUUACAAGAUGUGCUCUGCGAUUUUUUUG